GGAAAAUAGAACUAGGGUUCAGCUGCCUUCUGAAACACAUUGAUCACGUGCGCCUUGUUGUAUAAAAAACCACGAAAUAAUUCUUCAAACAGAUCUUCAAAAGAUUGAGUAGAAAAUAAUAACAUCUAGCUGGCGCGCGCAGAACAGAGUCAGGUGUUGUUCCAAAGUGUAACAACAUUUGUCACAACACUUGGGGUCAGCACAUUUGUCUCAACACUUGGGGUCAGCACAUUUGUCUCAACACUUGGCUAAAAUAUGUUUUCGCAAAAUGUAGCCAAUAUACAAAAAAC
rnacentral:lncRNA from 1 species